rnacentral:rRNA from 1 species
UAAGGGAUCACAGUAAGGUAUUAAGUGGGUUCCAGUUCAUUUACUUUGAGUAAAAUUAGAGUGUUCAAAGCAGCCUGUAUGGGCAUUGAAUAGAUUAGCAUGGGAUAAUAGAAUAGGAUUCUUAUCUAUUACUUGGUUUAUAGAUUUAGAAUAAUGAUUAAUAGGGAUAGUUGGGGGGCACUUGUAUUCAAUAGUCAGAGGUGAAAUUCUAGGAUUUAUUGAAGACAAACUUCAGCGAAAGCAUUUGCCAAGGAUGUUUUCAUUAAUCAAGAACGAAAGUUAGGGGAUCGAAGACGAUUAGACACCGUCGUAGUCUUAACUAUAAACUAUGCCGACCAGGGAUAUGAGAGUUUUAUAUUUAUGUUAUGAAUAAUAACAUAAUCUCUUGUGGACCUUGUGAGAAAUCAUAAGUUUUUGGGUUCUGGG